rnacentral:rRNA from 1 species
ACUGCUAAUACUCUAUACUCCUGUCUUACAUAAGUUAGAUAGGGAAAGUUUUUCGGUGUAGGAUGAGGCUAUAUUGUAUCAGCUAGUUGGUGAGGUAAUGGCUCACCAAGGCUAUGACGCAUAACUGGUCUGAGAGGAUGAUCAGUCACACUGGAACUGAGACACGGUCCAGACUCCUACGGGAGGCAGCAGUAGGGAAUAUUGCUCAAUGGGGGAAACCCUGAAGCAGCAACGCCGCGUGGAGGAUGACACUUUUCGGAGCGUAAACUCCUUUUGUUAGGGAAGAAUAAUGACGGUACCUAACGAAUAAGCACCGGCUAACUCCGUGCCAGCAGCCGCGGUAAUACGGAGGGUGCAAGCGUUACUCGGAAUCACUGGGCGUAAAGGACGCGUAGGCGGAUUAUCAAGUCUCUUGUGAAAUCCUAUGGCUUAACCAUAGAACUGCUUGGGAAACUGAUAAUCUAGAGUGAGGGAGAGGCAGAUGGAAUUGGUGGUGUAGGGGUAAAAUCCGUAGAGAUCACCAGGAAUACCCAUUGCGAAGGCGAUCUGCUGGAACUCAACUGACGCUAAUGCGUGAAAGCGUGGGGAGCAAACAGGAUUAGAUACCCUGGUAGUCCACGCCCUAAACGAUGUAUACUAGUUGUUGCUAAGCUAGUCUUGGCAGUAAUGCACCUAACGGAUUAAGUAUACCGCCUGGGGAGUACGGUCGCAAGAUUAAAACUCAAAGGAAUAGACGGGGACCCGCACAAGCGGUGGAGCAUGUGGUUUAAUUCGAAGAUACGCGAAGAACCUUACCCGGACUUGAUAUCUAACAAAUCAUCCAGAGAUGGAAGAGUGUCUGCUUGCAGAAAUGUUAAGACAGGUGCUGCACGGCUGUCGUCAGCUCGUGUCGUGAGAUGUUGGGUUAAGUCCCGCAACGAGCGCAACCCACGUCAUUAGUUGCUAACAGUUCGGCUGAGCACUCUAAUGAGACUGCCUUCGUAAGGAGGAGGAAGGUGUGGACGACGUCAAGUCAUCAUGGCCCUUAUGUCCGGGGCGACACACGUGCUACAAUGGCAUAUACAAUGAGACGCAAUAUCGCGAGAUGGAGCAAAUCUAUAAAAUAUGUCCCAGUUCGGAUUGGAGUCUGCA